rnacentral:lncRNA from 1 species
CGACGGUGUGUGAGCGUGUGGGGAAGAGCUUGGUGAUGCAAGCCGUGUUAAAUCCAUGCUCAGAUAAUCCAAUGGCCGCCCUUAGCCCAGCACCACCAGCUCCCACAACCACCGCGUCAUAGGUGUGAUCCACUAUCGUGUAAUCACCUGUCUGCUGCAUGAUCAACAACAUGGAUACGAAGAAUAAGCAAAAAAAGCAAUUCUAACAAUACGCAAUCCCGAUCAAAUUCAAUACUAAAACUCAACGGACUCCGUGUUCCCUAUCAUAAGCUUCUGUUACUCGAGAUUCCACGCGUAUUUACAUAGGAUCGAAACGAUAAAACUAAGAAUCGGAGGAGAGAUCUUACGGAACCGGUGGAGAGGAAUCUAGAAAAGCGAGAUCCAGAGAGUGAGGUCCUUGAGGAAGGAGCACGAAGGCUACGAGAGACGCAGCGCCACAUCUUCUUCUUUUUGAAUCCACAAGCCGAUCAGAUUCUAUGCAAAAUGAAGAUGGUAGACGAAAUCGUUUCUUUUUUUGUUUACCUGAGAACUCGCGAGCGGAGUGAGAGAGAGCCACCGAGGUGAGGUGCUGCUUUUUAAAGAAAAAAUGGAAAACGAUGACUUCUUUAAAUUCCGUUUAUACCCUUACUCUCUCACGAUAACUACGCCUAAACCGGUUUGCUUUGGGAACUAAACCAACCCCCAAGGUUAGGCCCUCUCCCUCCUAUUGGUCAAUUGAUAACAUGUUUGGUGCCAAUUUUUUCUUUCUCGCCGUCUCAUUUUUUAGAUCCAACGAUGAAGGGGGUAACUCGAUCAAAAUGAUAGAAUAUUCAAAAUUAUCAAAUAAUUUUGAAAUAAUAAUGGCCCAUGUUUUUAUUAUCUACCAGUAACAUACUUAUCAUUUUAUUCCAUGCUUCCAUAAGUACUUUUUUUUUCUAUUUUUAUAUUAGAUUUAGCUUCAUAGUAUUCGAAAACGUAGAGAAGGAUACUAGUCACUCGUGGACGGUUCUAAUCCAGAAGUUGGAAACCUUUUGUGAGGAAACGAUUACGUUAGAAUAAAAAUAAUGAUUAGUUUAAAUACCAAUUCCGUUGUCGUCCAACUACAGAGUAUCACGAAAUCAAUUAUGGUCCUCAAAGACUCAUAAUGAGAGUUAGCUGAGAAAGUUGAAUCUAGCAUACCUACACCACGACCUUCCCUGAUUUCCAUAGUCAUAGAUCUAGAGACAACAUCUCUUGAUGCAAGAUCCUUGGCUGUAGGAGCAUAUCGUUCCAUAAAACGUUCUCCUUCACUGUUUCUAAGGAUACCACCUUCACCUCGGGAUCCUGCAAUUGUUUAGUAGAGAAACACCAAAAAUAACCAUGUCAACCACAUUAUAUCUCUAUCGUGUAAGUAAAUGGACUAUGUGAGGACAAGAUGCUAACCUUCAGUGAUGAGACAUCCGGCUCCGUAAAUACCAGUUGGAUGGAACUGAACAAACUCCAAGUCCUGCAUAUGACGUAAUCAGACAAUAAUAUUAUUAGCAUACAGAUACGUUUUGCACCAUUUAUCUCAAAACUAAAUAGGUAGCAUACCUGGAGUGGAAGACCAGCACGUGCAACCAUGGCAUUGCCAUCUCCUGUGCAUGUAUGUGCUGAGGUUGCAGAGAAGUAUGCUCUGCCGUAACCCUGGAAAAAAAAAGAGGCAUCAUGUGAGUAAACUUGCACAAUUGGAAAAAUUCGUAACAUGAAAACUACUCAAAACUAGCUCACCCCAGUGGCCAAGAUUGUUUGUGCAGAGCGGAAACGGUGCAAUGUUCCAUCUUCCAUGUUUAGUGCAAUUACACCCUGGCAAGUGCCUGCAGAUCGGAUAACAAUGUUGCAUCAAUACUAACGGAAGCAAGAGAAAAAGGAAAAUAACUCCCAAACACUUACCAUCACUCGCCAUGAGCAGAUCCAGAGCGAAGUAUUCAACAAAGAACUGUGUGUUAUGCUUCAUAGCUUGUCCAUAUAAGGUAUGCAAGAGAGCAUGCCCAGUCCGAUCCGCAGCACAAGCACAACGAUAGGCCUGACCACCUGACGGUAGAAUAAAAAGAAAGCCAACAUGAGAAAAUCUACUAAAACAAUCAAAGUUCCCAAAACAAAGCCAGCAAGAGCACAUAUGAAAAAAUCAAAUGAAAUGAUCAAAAAGGUAGCAAGACGUUAGACAAAGUCACCUUUGCCAAAGUCAAGACUCUGACCACCAAAUGCACGCUGGUAAAUUUUACCCUCUUCAGUACGAGAAAAGGGCAGGCCGUAAUUCUCAAGUUCAAUCACUGCUUUUGGUGCCUCUCUACACAUAUACUGAAUGGCAUCUUGAUCACCUACACAAAGAAAAUCAAAAAACUGUUAAAUGCAGGCACAGCAACUGAACCACAUACUAGCAAGAGCAAUAAGCUAAUACAAAAGAAAAAGAAGAGUUGCAAGAUUACCAAGCCAGUCACUUCCUUUGACAGUAUCAUACAUGUGCCAUCUCCAGUCAUCUUCAGACAUGUUUCCCAGUGCAGCAUUAAUACCACCCUUCACAGUUUCCCCACAUCACAUUAAAGCUCAUCAAAUCUCAAAGAAACCAAAACUCCAUUACUAAUCAGAAGGGUAAAACGAAAUUAACCUGAGCAGCGACGGUGUGUGAGCGUGUGGGGAAGAGCUUGGUGAUGCAAGCCGUGUUAAAUCCAUGCUCAGAUAAUCCAAUGGCCGCCCUUAGCCCAGCACCACCAGCUCCCACAACCACCGCGUCAUAGGUGUGAUCCACUAUCGUGUAAUCACCUGUCUGCUGCAUGAUCAACAACAUGGAUACGAAGAAUAAGCAAAAAAAGCAAUUCUAACAAUACGCAAUCCCGAUCAAAUUCAAUACUAAAACUCAACGGACUCCGUGUUCCCUAUCAUAAGCUUCUGUUACUCGAGAUUCCACGCGUAUUUACAUAGGAUCGAAACGAUAAAAC